AUUGAACGCUGGCGGCAGGCUUAACACAUGCAAGUCGAGCGGAAGCGCGGUGCUUGCACCUUAUCUUCGCGGCGGACGCGCGCGUAAUGCUUAGGAAUCUGCCUCUUAGUGUGGGCCAGCAUUCAGAAAGGAAUGCUAAUGCCGCAUACGCCCUACAGGGGCAGGUACGGGAUCUUCGCACUGUGCGCUAACACAUGUGCCUAAGUCGGAUUAGCUAGUUGGUGGGGUAAGGGCCUACCAAGGCGGCGAUCUGUAGCGGGUCUGAGAGGAUGAUGCGGCACACUGGGACUGAGACACGGCCCAGACUCCUACGGGAGGCAGCAGUGGGGAAUAUUGGACAAUGGGCGGAAGCCUGAUCCAGCCAUGCCGCGUGUGUGAAGAAGGCCUUUUGGUUGUAAAGCACUUUAAGCGAGGAGGAGGCUACCUGGAUUAAUACUCUAGGAUAGUGGACGUUACUCGCAGAAUAAGCACCGGCUAACUCUGUGCCAGCCGCCGCGGUAAAAC
rnacentral:rRNA from 1 species